rnacentral:rRNA from 1 species
AUUGAACGCUGGCGGCAUGCUUUACACAUGCAAGUCGAACGGUAACAGGCCGCAAGGUGCUGACGAGUGGCGAACGGGUGAGUAAUGCAUCGGAACGUGCCCAGUCGUGGGGGAUAACGCAGCGAAAGCUGCGCUAAUACCGCAUACGAUCUAUGGAUGAAAGCGGGGGACCGUAAGGCCUCGCGCGAUUGGAGCGGCCGAUGUCAGAUUAGGUAGUUGGUGGGGUAAAGGCUCACCAAGCCAACGAUCUGUAGCUGGUCUGAGAGGACGACCAGCCACACUGGGACUGAGACCCGGCCCAGACUCCUACGGGAGGCAGCAGUGGGGAAUGUUGGACAAUGGGCGCAAGCCUGAUCCAGCAAUGCCGCGUGCAGGAAGAAGGCCUUCGGGUUGUAAACUGCUUUUGUACGGAACGAAACGGUCCUGGUUAAUACCUGGGGCUAAUGACGGUACCGUAAGGAUAAGCACCGGCUAACUACGUGCCAGCCGCCGCCGUAAAAC